GAUGAACGCUGGCGGCGUGCCUAACACAUGCAAGUCGUACGAGCUCGAUCUUCGGAACGGGUUAGUGGCGCACGGGUGAGUAACACGUAGGUGACCUACCCCAGAGUGGGGGAUAACUUCUCGAAAGAGAGGCUAAUACCGCAUACACUCGGUCAUUCAUUUGGCCGAGCAAAGCUCCGGCGCUUUGGGACGGGCCUGCGUCCGAUUAGCUAGUUGGUAGGGUAAUGGCUUACCAAGGCUUUGAUCGGUAGCUGGUCUGAGAGGACGAUCAGCCACACUGGCACUGACACACGGGCCAGACUCCUACGGGAGGCAGCAGUGAGGAAUAUUGGGCAAUGGGCGAAAGCCUGACCCAGCAACGCCGCGUGAGGGAUGAAGGCCUUCGGGUUGUAAACCUCUUUCUGGAGAAGAGACAAGGACGGUAUCCCAGGAAUAAGUCUCGGCUAACUACGU
rnacentral:rRNA from 1 species